UAGGGAAUCUUCCGCAAUGGACGAAAGUCUGUCGGAGCAACGCCGCGUGAGUGAAGAAGGAUUUCGGUUCGUAAAACUCUGUUGUUAGGGAAGAAAAAAUGUAUAGUAAUUAUAUACAAAAGAGACGGUACCUAACCAGAAAGCCACGGCUAACUACGUGCCAGCAGCCGCGGUAAUACGUAGGUGGCAAGCGUUGUCCGGAAUUAUUGGGCGUAAAGCGCGCGCAGGUGGUUUAGAAAGUCUGAUGUGAAAGCCCACGGCUCAACCGUGGAGGGUCAUUGGAAACUAAUAAACUUGAGUGCAGGAGAGAAAAGUGGAAUUCCUAGUGUAGCGGUGAAAUGCGUAGAGAUUAGGAGGAACACCGGUGGCGAAAGCGGCUUUUUGGCCUGCAACUGACACUGAGGCGCGAAAGCGUGGGGAGCAAACAGG
rnacentral:rRNA from 1 species